AGAGUUUGAUCAUGGCUCAGAGCGAGCGCUGGCGGCGUGCCUAACACAUGCAAGUCGAACGUGAACGGGGGCAACCCUUAGUAAAGUGGCGUACGGGUGAGUAACGCGUAGGUAAUCUACCCCAGAAUCUGGAAUAACCGGCCGAAAGGCUGGCUAAUACUGGAUAGAGCGAUGGAAUCCGUAAUUGGGUUUUUCGGGAAAGGGAGCUCGUAAGGGCCUUCGUUCUGGGAUGAGCCUGCGUCUCAUUAGCUAGUUGGCGGGGUAAGGGCCCACCAAGGCUAGGAUGGGUAGCUGGUCUGAGAGGAUGAUCAGCCACACUGGAACUGAAACACGGUCCAGACUCCUACGGGAGGCAGCAGUGGGGAAUCUUGCGCAAUGGACGAAAGUCUGACGCAGCCACGCCGCGUGAGUGAAGAAGGCCUUCGGGUUGUAAAGCUCUGUCGUGCGGGACGAACAUCUCAGGGGUGAAUAGCCACUGGGACUGACGGUACCGCAAAAGGAAGCACCGGCUAACUUCGUGCCAGCAGCCGCGGUAAUACGAGGGGUGCAAGCGUUGCUCGGAAUUAUUGGGCGUAAAGGGUAGGUAGGUGGUCUCAUUUGUCUAGGGUGAAAGCCUUGAGCUUAACUCAAGGAGUGCCCUAGAAACGGUGAGACUGGAGUACUGGAGAGGGUCGUGGAAUUCCCGGUGUAGCGGUGAAAUGCGUAGAGAUCGGGAGGAACACCAGAGGCGAAGGCGGCGACCUGGACAGUUACUGACACUCAACUACGAAAGCGUGGGGAGCAAACAGGAUUAGAUACCCUGGUAGUCCACGCUGUAAACGAUGGGUACUAGGUUUGGUGGGUCUUGACCCCCGCCGAACCGGCGCUAACGCACUAAGUACCCCGCCUGGGAAGUACGGUCGCAAGACUAAAACUCAAAGGAAUUGACGGGGGCCCGCACAAGCGGUGGAUCAUGUGGUUUAAUUCGAAGCACGCGAAGAACCUUACCUGGAUUUGACAUCCUCGGACAUCCCUAGAGAUA
rnacentral:rRNA from 1 species